CCUACGGGAGGCAGCAGUGAGGAAUAUUGGUCAAUGGGCGAGAGCCUGAACCAGCCAAGUCGCGUGAGGGAGUACUGCCCUAUGGGUUGUAAACCUCUUUUGUCGAGGAGCAAAAGCCGGACGUGUCCGGCUGUGAGAGUACCCGAAGAAAAAGCAUCGGCUAACUCCGUGCCAGCAGCCGCGGUAAUACGGAGGAUGCGAGCGGUAUCCGGAUUUAUUGGGUUUAAAGGGUGCGCAGGCGGAUUUUUAAGUCAGCGGUAAAAUCGUGGGGCUCAACCCCAUCCAGCCGUUGAAACUGGGGAUCUAGAGUGUGCGAGAGGUAUGCGGAAUGCGUGGUGUAGCGGUGAAAUGCAUAGAUAUCACGCAGAACCCCGAUUGCGAAGGCAGCAUACCGGUGCACAACUGACGCUCAGGCACGAAAGCGUGGGUAUCGAACAGGAUUAGAUACCCGAGUAGUC
rnacentral:rRNA from 1 species